UCUCCCCUCUUUCUUUCUCUUUUUCUUUGAAUGUCGAUGCUGCUUCUUCUCUUCUGCCUCUCACUCUCCUAUGUGCCCUAAAUGAGUAAAAUGAUGAAUAUAUAUAUCAUCAUGGAUGGGCCAAAAAUAAUCCUGAUGGGCUCUUCUAAUUGUUGGGCUUCCUCUACAUAGGAGAGAUCCAUAAAACCCAACAAUUCUCCCCCUCUCAACUAUGUGGAGAUAUUCGCCAACCCGAUGAUCAAACGAUAAG
rnacentral:lncRNA from 1 species